rnacentral:rRNA from 1 species
GGGGAAUUUUCCGCAAUGGGCGAAAGCCUGACGGAGCAAUACCGCGUGAGGGAUGAAUGCCUGUGGGUUGUAAACCUCUUUUCUUAGAGAAGAAAAUAGACGGUAUCUAAGGAAUAAGCAUCGGCUAACUCCGUGCCAGCAGCCGCGGUAAUACGGGGGAUGCAAGCGUUAUCCGGAAUCACUGGGCGUAAAGAGUCUGUAGGUGGUUUAAUAAGUCUGCUAUUAAAUAUUGGGGCCCAACCCUAAAAAAAGAGUAGAAACUGUUAGACUUGAGUCUGGUAUGGGUAAAGGGAAUUCCCAGUGUAGCGGUGAAAUGCGUAGAUAUUGGGAAGAACACCAGUAGCGAAAGCGCUUUACUAGGCCAUGACUGACACUCAGAGACGAAAGCUAGGGGAGCG